UUGCCCAAAUUUUGUGUGUGUGUUUUUAACUCUCCUGUGGAAUGAUCUUGUUUCUGCAAUUUCAUAACCAUGGAUGAAUAACAAAGCAGAAAAUUGAGAUCACUUGGUGGCCUGAUGUGGAGUGGAGGGGAUAUGAUAUGACAUACUACAUGGUCAACCUCACCUUUCAACUUUGAACCUGUAAGAUUGACAUCUACACCUGCCACUGAAAUCUUGCCUGGCCCUGAGGAAUAACCUGAGCAUGAACCAGCCUUUUACUCACUGAAACAGAGAUGACUGGGAUGAAUAUGGUCUCAAGUUCCUCUUCCCCAGUCAGAUUAAGACUUGGUGCCAUGACUGGACACUGCCUUGCCCAAUGACAGGGGACUACCGUCCACUAACCCAGAGAUGAGACCAUCGUCCAAUUUGUCUCUCGGUAAACUUGUUCAAUGUUAAGCUACACUCCAUUAUUUCACAGUGACUAUACAAAUGAAUGACUGCUCAAAUAUAUUAGUCAGGUUGGGGGUGGGGAUGCUAUCAAACCAGGAUAUUGUGUAAAGUAUCUACCCAUUUAAAUACUUACAGUGAAGGCCAG